GUUUGCAAAUGACUCGGCACUCCCGAGUGGUAACCAACCUUAAGGUGGACUUCCACAAAAGGAACCAAAGAAACCUGCAGGCUCUGUCUAUUCACCCAGGGAUCGCUUUCCUGGUGGUGAAAUGAAACCAGCUUCUUUGUGGAACGGAGCGAUCACUGGCUGCCAGUAACACAACCCUCUACAAUGUGUAGAGGGGGAAAUGAAGGCUAGCUCAUCCGAAGGAAACUACAGGGGAAUUUUAGAUCAGCAGAAUGCAAUUAUCCAAGUUGGAAUUGUUCCAGGACACCAAAAGCGAACUUUAAAGGUGUUUCAGGGCGUUUUCGGUGGCAAAGAUGGCCCCCUUCCUGAUAAACGCCAAGUUCAGCACCUCCAAGUAACUGUGCGAGCAUAUGCAUUUGCCCUUAAAAAUUAGCAGAGGAUGUCACGGAGGUUUUAAUAGCCACAAAUGUCUCUUAGCAUUUCCCUCCUUUAGGAAGACAAUAUCAGACUGCUGGCAUUGAUUUCUUAAAAUUAUACUGGCAAAAAGAUAAACAAAGCUCAAGAUAUAGAAAUACAUUUUACACUGAAAAAAAAAAGAAAAAAAAACAAAAAAACAAAAAAACACACUGAAACCAAAUCCUCAUAUUUCUUGGCUCACGGUAGCAGGCUGACUAGUUACCCAAAAUGAGCUUGUUGCAAAAUCACUCUGUUCUCACCACAGGCACAAUUUACCAACUGGGUGCAACAGACACCGGGCUGGCUCCUGAACUUCUCUCCUCCAAUUAAGCUACACAACCUGUUACCAUUUUGCCAAUGGACUCUAUUUACUUAGGUUCUGCUUAACUUGCCAAGUGCUCACUCUGUGGAAUUCCCAGCAAAGAGAAAGGAACAAUUGGGGGAAAUUUUUGUUAACAUCCUUUCUUUUAACUUUCCCUAGCAGAGGGGAAUGCAUCAACGUGGAGCAGAUGUGCUGAGACCAAAUGCUCUCUUCCUCAUGAUUACAGUUGGUUAUACCUGUGGAUAGGCAAGCUAAUUCCACAGCAAAUGUGCAAGAGAGGGUAGUACUAACGUACAAUGUGUGGUCCUGGAGGCUUUGUUCCCACGUAAUAGGGUGCUUCGUUUCACGAGACCUGGCACGUUGAGAAGAAAACUGAUGUGAAACAGCCCCGUGCAGUUGGAAUCAGGGGCUACGUCUGAGCGGUUUAGAGAGUGCCCGAGUUCUCAGCGAUGUUGACACAAAUAUCACGGAAUUUAUUAUUUGGAGUUGGAAAAUAAUGAUUCUCUCUACUUAAUGUGCUCAGCGACUCUGCACCCAAUUGUUUUCUGCCAUUUGAGAAUGCCCGAGGAUGUCAUUAAAACUACACGUAUCAAUAUUAAACCUUUACAAGUAGGUGACUAAAUGAGCUGUUAUUAUCUUUGUUUCUGACAAUAGUGUACCUUUUUACUUCAUUUAUCAGUAACUAGGUGUAGUCGAUUGCACUCUGGUAUUGAUCCCAAUAUCUAUACCUGUCACAGACUACCUUUCCUCAAGGUCAUCGUAAGGUCGAGUUAUGAUCAAUAUGAAUUGACUGUCUGCAAAUAAAUUUAUGUAGCUGACAUU